rnacentral:rRNA from 1 species
GAGCUUGCUUCCGAUGACGACCGGCGCACGGGUGAGUAACACGUAUCCAACCUACCUAUUACUUGGGGAUAGCCUUUCGAAAGGAAGAUUAAUACCCAAUAGUCUUAUAUUUCUGCAUGGGAAUAUAAGUAAAGAAUUUCGGUAAUAGAUGGGGAUGCGUUUCAUUAGUUUGUAGGUGAGGUAACGGCUCACCUAGACUUCGAUGAAUAGGGGUUCUGAGAGGAAGGUCCCCCACACUGGUACUGAGACACGGACCAGACUCCUACGGGAGGCAGCAGUGAGGAAUAUUGGUCAAUGGGCGCAAGCCUGAACCAGCCAAGUAGCGUGAAGGAAGACUGCCCUCUGGGUUGUAAACUUCUUUUAUAGGGGAAUAAAAUGCGUCACGUGUGACGUUUUGCAUGUACCCUACGAAUAAGGACCGGCUAACUCCGUGCCAGCAGCCGCGGUAAUACGGAGGGUCCGAGCGUUAUCCGGAUUUAUUGGGUUUAAAGGGUGCGCAGGCGGGAUGUUAAGUCAGUUGUGAAAGUUGGACGCUCAACGUUCAAAUUGCAAUUGAAACUGGCAUUCUUGAGUGCAGUG